AUUGAACGCUGGCGGCAUGCCUUACACAUGCAAGUCGAACGGCAGCACGGGUGCUUGCACCUGGUGGCGAGUGGCGAACGGGUGAGUAAUACAUCGGAACAUGUCCUGUAGUGGGGGAUAGCCCGGCGAAAGCCGGAUUAAUACCGCAUACGAUCUACGGAUGAGAGCGGGGGACCUUCGUGCCUCGCGCUAUAGGGUUGGCCGAUGGCUGAUUAGCUAGUUGGUGGGGUAAAGGCCUACCAAGGCGACGAUCAGUAGCUGGUCUGAGAGGACGACCAGCCACACUGGGACUGAGACACGGCCCAGACUCCUACGGGAGGCAGCAGUGGGGAAUUUUGGACAAAGGGCGAAAGCCUGAUCCAGCAAUGCCGCGUGUGUGAAGAAGGCCUUCGGGUUGUAAAGCACUUUUGUCCGGAAAGAAAUCCUUGGCCCUAAUACGGUCGGGGGAUGACGGUACCGGAAGAAUAAGCACCGGCUAACUACGUG
rnacentral:rRNA from 1 species